rnacentral:sRNA from 1 species
CACUUGCUGCAACUGCUGCUGCUGCUGCUGCUGCAGCAGCUGUUGCUGCUGUUGCUGCUGCUGCAGCAGCAGCUGUUGCUGCUGCUGCAGCUGCAGCUGUUGCUGCUGUUGCUGCUGCUGCUGCUGCACUGCUGCUGCAGAGGCAUCAGCAGCACUACUAGCUGAUGCAGCUGCCGCUGUCGUUGCUGCAGCAGCAAAAGCUUCAGCAGCAUCUGCAGCCACAGCAGCAGUAGCUGCUGCAGCAGCAGUAGCUGCAGCAGCAGCAGCUGCAGCAGCAGCAGUAGCUGCAGCAGCAGCAGCUGCAGCAGCAGCUCAGGCUGCUUCUGAAGCUGCUUGCUUAG